rnacentral:lncRNA from 10 species
UCUUUCUAUUUUUUUUUGAAAUGGAGUCUUGCUCUGUUGCCCAGGCUGGAGUGCAGUGGCACACUCUUGGCUCACUGCAACCUCCACCUCCCGGGUUCAAGCGAUUCUCCCACUUCAGGCUCCCAAGUGGCUGGGAUUACAGGCACCCACCACCACACCCAGCUAAUUUUUGUACUUUUAGUAGAAAUGGGGUUUCGCCAUGUUGGCCAGGCUGGUCUCAAACUCCUGACCUCAGGUGAUCCACCCGCCUAGGCCUCCCAAAGUGUUGGGAUUACAGGCGUGAGCCACCACACCCUAGCCCUGAGUCUGUUUAUGCUUCUGUCAGGUGUGGCAUGGGCCUGCCUGGGAGCUAUUCUUUUUCUGUAAAGCACAGGCAGUUAAUCAGUGGUCUCUGGGAAGAAUCCAGCUCAGGGUUAUAUUUCGUUUGACCCACUCAAGUUUUAAAAAGUAAAUUAGUUGCCAAUGUGCAAACAUUAGAAGAGUUCACAGCUUCUCCAACAAUACCUAGAAGUUCAUCCGAUGGUGCCCGCAUUCCCUGCUCCAUCUGGAUGGUGCCCACAUUCCCUGCUCUGUCCAGACGGUGCCCACAUUCCCUGCUCUGUCUGGACGGUGCCCACAUUCCCUGAUCUGUCCGGACAGUGCCCACAUUCCCUGCUCCGUCCGGACGGUGCCCACAUUCCCUGCUCCGUCCGGACGGUGCCCACAUUCCCUGCUCUGUCCAGAUGGUGCCCACAUUCCCUGCUCCAUCUGGACGGUGCCCACAUUCCCUCCUCUGUCUAGACAGUGCCCACAUUCCCUGCUCCGUCCGGACGGUGCCCACAUUCCCUGCUCUGUCUGGACGGUGCUCACAUUCCCUGCUCUGUCUAGACAGUGCCCACAUUCCCUGCUCCAUCCAGACGGUGCCCAUACUCCCUGCUCUGUCUAGAUGGUGUCCACAUUCCCUGCUCCGUCUAGACUGUGCCCAUAUUCGCUGCUGGCUGCAAAUGCGAGGAGUUGACAGCAGCCUCCCCUUUACAAGGCAGGAGGUGCCACUGUUCGCCAUUGUCUCCACCUAGGGCUUCACUUGCUUUCUAUCUGCAGACAUCAGAGGGACCCACAUCUCUCUGUUCUGACACGCUGUGUGUUGAUGGCAGAGUUUAAUUAUCCACAUGCAAUCUUACUUUCCUUAUUCCCAAGUCCGUGGGGCUGCCUCAUCAAAGCAUUGUAAGAACUGAUAACCAUCUUCUAGAAGUAUCAUAGUGAUAUUAAGAACACACAUCACAGAUCAUAGUAAAUGGCUUUAAUUUUUUAGCGAAAUCUCACUACUGCAA